rnacentral:rRNA from 1 species
UACAGAGGUCUCAAGCGUUGUUCGGAUUCAUUGGGCGUAAAGGGCGCGUAGGCGGCGCUGUAAGUCGGGUGUGAAAUUUCGGAGCUUAACUCCGAGACUGCAUUCGAUACUGCGGUGCUUGAGGACUGGAGAGGAGACUGGAAUUCAUGGUGUAGCAGUGAAAUGCGUAGAGAUCAUGAGGAAGACCAGUGGCGAAGGCGGGUCUCUGGACAGUUACUGACACUGAGGCGCGAAAGCGUGGGGAGCAAACAGG